rnacentral:rRNA from 1 species
GACAGAGGGUGCAAACGUUGUUCGGAUUUACUGGGCGUAAAGCGCGUGUAGGCGGCUUUGCAAGUCGGAUGUGAAAUCCCACGGCUCAACCGUGGAAGUGCAUCCGAAACUGCAUCGCUGGAGUCUCGGAGAGGAAGGUGGAAUGCCUGGUGUAGAGGUGAAAUUCGUAGAUAUCAAGCAGAACACCUGCGGCGAAGGCGGCCUUCUGGACGAUGACUGACGCUGAGACGCGAAAGCGUGGGGAGCAAACAGG